AUGCAGUUGUCUGGCGGAAACUACGAGGAAGCUCGAGCGGAUCGAGCGGCUGCGAGAAACGAUGGUGUGUCUGACUUUGAAGCAGCAGCAGCAUCAGCGCCCAGGAGACAGCGUAAGUGGAGUGCAGCAAAGUCGAUGCCCAUGGAUGACAAUUACGACGAUGAGGAAGCCGCUGUACUGUACGAGUAUCUGGCCGCAAUUGUUGGGCCCCAACAACAUGGUAACGCUUACUCAUCUUCAUCGCUUGCAAAAAAGUUUAGGGAAGCUGAUUGGUAG
rnacentral:rRNA from 1 species